rnacentral:misc_RNA from 1 species
AGUUAGUGGGACUGGUAGAAAACCGUGGAAUCAGAAGGGCACAGGGCGAGCGAGGCAUGGAACACUGCGUGGUCCUCAGUUUCGAGGUGGUGCCACUAUGCAUGGUCCAAAACCGCGAAGUCAUGCAAUCAAACUGAACAAGAAGGUUCGGCGGCUAGGACUGAAGAUUGCACUAUCAGCUCGUGCAGCUGAAGGAAAGCUUCUGGUUUUUGAG